rnacentral:rRNA from 1 species
AUACGGAGGGUGCGAGCGUUAAUCGGAAUUACUGGGCGUAAAGGGUGCGUAGGCGGCUUGAUAAGUCGGAUGUGAAAGCCCCGGGCUUAACCUGGGAAUUGCAUUCGAUACUGUCAGGCUAGAGUAUGUCAGAGGUUGGCGGAAUUCCUGGUGUGGCGGUGAAAUGCGUAGAUAUCAGGAGGAACACCAGUGGCGAAGGCGGCUAACUGGGGCAAUACUGACGCUGAGGCACGAAAGCGUGGGGAGCAAACAGGAUUAGAUACCCCAGUAGUCC